GCAAGCUUUGGUUUUCGUCUGUUUCCCGCUUUCCUUUUCUAGGUUUUGCUGUGAAGCUGUUCGGGUCUGAGGACGUCACUGAUCCUAUUGGUAGCAUUUGGCCAACGUCCUGUCAAGAGAUUUCUUCUCAUUCUUGAUCUCAAAUGCCGGAGCAGCUGCUGAAUUCUGGGCUAGAAUGUCCGGAAUAAAACAAGAAGUCCCUCUUUCUUACUUGGGUCAAGAUUUUAAUGGUUCCUGUGGAGGCCAGGAAGACGG